AGCGAACGCUGGCGGCAGGCUUAACACAUGCAAGUCGAGCGGGCACUCCGGUGUCAGUGGCAGACGGGUGAGUAACACGUGGGAACGUACCCUUUGGUUCGGAAUUACGCUGGGAAACUAGCGCUAAUACCGGAUACGCUCCUCUGGGGAAAGGCUCGCUGCCGAAGGAUCGGCCCGCGUCCGCUUAGCUGGUCGGUGGCGUAAUGGCCUACCAAGGCGACGAUCAGUAGCUGGUCUGAGAGGAUGAUCAGCCACACUGGGACUGAGACACGGCCCAGACUCCUGCGGGAGGCAGGAGUGGGGGAUAUUGGCCAAUGGGCGCGAGCCUGAUGCAGCCAUGCCGGGUGAGUGAUGAAGGCCUUAGGGUUGUAAAGCUCUUUUGUCCGGGACGAUAAUGACGGUACCGGAAGAAUAAGCCCCGGCUAACUUCGUG
rnacentral:rRNA from 1 species